rnacentral:lncRNA from 1 species
GGACGCACAGGUAAGAAUUGAUUUAUGAUGCAUAUGUAUGAAAUGGUGCGGUGGACGCACAGAUGAGUAUUUAAUUACUGUUAUGAUGAUGAUGAUAUAUAUUGAGCUCAAAUCCUGCACCAUGGUUUAGUGCUUAUAGUAUUCACCGCAUCGCACGCUCGCCUUGGAUCCAAGUAGAUGCUAGUCGUACAGUCCACGCGGAGUGGGUACGACAGGCCAGUCGCGAGAGUGUUAGUGAGAUUCCGACUGGUGGGUGACCUUAGAUUAUGUGCACAGAUGAUUUAUGAGAAGCACUAGAGCGUAACUUGUGUGCAGAAGGCCGGACGGGUCACAGAGGUGACUCCGGUAGAGUGAUAAUGAUAGAUUUUGAGCUCUAGGUUCAACCGUAUAGGGCUAUUAGAGGGCCUACGGUUGAUUACUUUCUUGCACCUGAUAUGAUUAUGUUGAUGCAUUCAUACCUUAUUACUGUUGAGAUAAUGUGGCAUGGCAUAAUUAAUAUGAGAAAUGUUGAGAUGACAUGGCAUGGCAUGAUUGAUAAAGAGAUAAUGUUGAGAUAGUAAAAAUGAAGUUUUGAGAAUAUAUAUGUAUAUUUAUAUUUUACAUUUCUGGGAAAGUAUACAGGUUUUACGGAGAGGGGUUACAACGUUUUGAGAAAUGUUUGGAUUUGGAAAAGAAUUGUUUUACUGACCCACUCAAUUUUGGUUUUGCGCCCCUCCAGGUUCAGGAAUCACAAAGGUGUGGUGACUACGAGGAAUUCGACGGUGUUCUGACAGAUUGGACAAAAUUAGGACUCACCUUCGGGUGUAUCAACUUAUAAAUUGUAUAAUUAAAGCUUCCGUACUGUGCAAAUGGUUACGUCACUCUCACGUGACGGCCAGCAUGCCCUCCUUCGGGACGGGGUGUGUCAGUUGGUAUCAGAGCAUGGUUGCAAUCUUGGACAUCUUGAGAAGUUUCUAGUGAAUUCUGUCAGAACUACACCGCCUCGUAGCAAGCCACUUAGUUAGAGGAAUUUAGUCUCCCUAAUAUAGCGGUUUAGGGAAAACUAUUAUUAUGGUGAUUCAGUCUAUUAUAAAAAGGGACAUUUUAAGACGGAUUAUGAGUUGAAUUUGAAUCACUUAAGAGAAAUGAUGAACCUGAGGGAACAAAGUGACGGAUUAACCAAUUGGAAAAGAUGUUUCGGAAUAUGCAAGUCAAAGGAAUCUUCCUUCUGACAGGGGGUCGAGACGACUACCUGGUUUUGGGUAUGAAUUUGUAUCCUGGUGGAAACAGGAGUAUGAUGUGUUGUCACCGGAGGAACAGCCGAUUUAAAAUUGUUUAAGGACUUGUUUAAGGGAAAAGUUUAUCCCUCCGGCAUUUAUCGAUGGUAGUAAACAAGAGUUUACAAAUAUGAGACAAGGAAGGUGAUGAUCGAGGGAUAUUAUAGAAAGUUUUCAGACUUGCCUCGUUCCAUCCAGAUAUGGUUGUUAUUGGUGGAGGUGUUAUGUUGUUUUUAAGCUGGGUGGCAAAAAGGGAAGUGGUAUUUUUGGGUGACCACUAUCCAUUAUACUUCUUACCAGGAAUAUACGAGAUGCUGUUGAGUCUUGAGGACUCUGAGAACAUGAUCAACGAGAAUAAAGAAGAAUAAGAAAUGAAUGGGAAUUAAAAGAAGACGAUAAAGUUAAUGAUUCGUCUUAUCAAGGAUAUAGAAAGAUUCAGAGCUUCGAAAGAAGUGAAGCUAGAGUUAAUUCUUCCAGCUGAGGUUUUAAUGUCGCUGGUCAGAGUAAAAGUGAUGGAUAUACUAGUAAUCCCAGAUAUUUGAGACAAGGUGUCUCGAGUAAAGGAAAUGUACUUUGUGCAGCAGGUACAAAAUUAACACUUUGGGAAGUGUGAAAUUAAUGAAUGUGUUUAUGUGAACAGAGGGGACACAGAAUUGUGAAUCGUCCCUAGAAUCAGUUGUACUCAACAGUUUUCUAUGACAUCGUAGUGUCGAUUCAGCAAGUUUAUGAACUUAGUAGUUUGGUCGGAUUGACCGUGGGUACAGAGAGAUUUGAUGAGUUAUAUGUUCAGCCGUACAGACCAUGAGAGGUGGAUCUGGCUGACGCAUGAGAAAUUGGUGAGUUAUAGGCUCGGCCGUACCGACCACGCGGAGUGGAUCCGGCCGACGUAUUAUUGAGAUAAGAGUUGAAUCAACCGUAUUGGUCAUUCUAGUUGACUUCGGCUGAUAUAUUUCUUAUUAUGUAUGUUAUACCUAGAGAGUAGUAAAUAAAUGUAGUUGAGACGAGUGUAUGUAUUUUGCAUUGAGUGACAAAAUAGUAAUGUUAUAUCUUUGUGAGUGGUUGCCUACUUAUCGAGACAACGAUGAUUUAUCAGUAUUGCGGGCUGCAGACCGUAAUAUUAAUAACUCAUUCGUGGAUUCGUUAAGCAAGCAACCCGGUAGAUUAUUUUAUGUUAGUAUUGUACUUAUUUGGAAUGCUUAAUAAUAAUAGAAUAUAUAUUGUAUCAGUUAAUUCUGUUCCAUUAGAUUGGUUGGUUAUAAUUGUGACAAGACGAAAUGUUAUGGGAAACCAGUACUUUCCAUCGAUCUGGAUGAACAGAGAUUACUUUUGUAAGUAUGCAAAAUGGAUUGAGUCAGGCUGUUAUUUAUGCUGUGAGAGCAAAGAGAUUGUUUUCGAAAGGCUGUCAAAAAUACUUAGCUCAUGUGGUGCUAAAUGAUGUUGUUUGGAGUAGUGUGAAUAAUGUCGAAAGAGUUAGACUUUUCUUGAUGUCUUCCCUGAAAGUAUACCUGGAUUGCCUUCAGGCAGAGAUAUGAGGUUCACUAUUGAUUUGUUGCCAGGUAUAAAUUUAUGUUAAAGAUUGGUUCAUGAUGAGUUAAGGGAAUUAGAAAUUCAGUUGAGAGAAUUGGUUGAUAAAAGUUUUAUUCAACCAGUACAACACUCUUGAGGAGCACCAGUUUGUUGGUGAGAAAGAAAAUGGAUCUUGAGACUGUUCAUUGAUUAUAGACAAUGGAGUCGGGUAACGAUUGAGAACCGUUAUCCAUGGUGAUGUACUGAUGUUUAUUUAACCAGCUCAGAAGUAAUUGCGAAGAUUCAAAGAUUGAAUUGAGGUCUGGUUAUUACCAAUUAAAGAUUAUGAGCGACGUUGUUCUUAAGAUUGUUUUAUGAAUUAUGGUGAUGCUAUAUGGAUACUCAUGCUGUUUUAUGAGUUAUUGGAUGAAGUAUUCCAAUAAUGCCUUGAUAAAUAGAUAUCAUUUUCAUUGAAGAUAUUCUGGCAUAUUCUGAGCCAGAGCAGAGCAUGUAAAUGUAUUAAGUCGGUGGAACAAAGAUUGGAAGAAUGUCGGUUGUAUGCUAAGUAGCAAAUGCUAAAGUUAGAUGAAUCAGGUGGCAUUCUGAGAUUUGUUAUAUAUUCUUAAGGUAUUCAAGUGAAUCCUUAAAAGAUAGCAGAAAUUGAGGAAUUGGAACAACCACGAACUGUAAUUGAGAUUCGGAAUUUCUUAGCUUACCAGGCUAUCUUGGAUGGUUGUGAAAGAUUUUUCAGUCAUUGCUUUGUCAUUGACGAGACUGUUGAGAAAGGAGGUUAUGUAUGAGUGGGAAGGAAAUUGUGAGCAAAGGUUUCAACAACUGAAGUAUUUCCUCACUCAUGCACGUAUUUUGGUAUUCCCAAAGAAUAGUGGUAAUCAUAAAUUUUUAGUGAUGUUUCUUGAAUGGUAUUGGAGGCAUGUUGAUGCAAAUGUUAGGGUGAUUGCAUACGUUUCACGAUAAAUGGAAUCUCAUAAGAUGAAUUACCCUACGGGUGACUUGGAAGUCAUGAUUACCAUUCUUGCUGUGAAGUUAUGAAGGCAUUAUAUUUGGUAAGAAUGCAAGAUUUUUACGAAUCCAAAAAGUCUUCAAUAUCCAUUACUUGGAAGGAUUUUGAUAUGAGGCAGCGAAAGUGAAUUGUAUUGCUUAAUGAACAUGAUUGUACGAUCAGGGUGAUCGUAAAGUUUGUUCUAGCUCAAGCACUUGGUGAGAAGACUACAGUAAGAUUAAUGUCUGGCACGUUUGCCAAGAGUAUCAUCUUGUGGAUUGAAAACCAACGGAAGAAAAAUUAAGAAUGGAAGAUCGAGAAGAAGUUAUACUUGUUAAGUAACAAGUUAGUACAUUUACUCCAGUGUUGAGUAACAACCUUUCCCAGACAGUGCAACAUUACUUAUUUGUUUUAUGGAAAAGAGAAUUGGUUUACGGAACUGCUGAGUUUCUUAAGUAUGUUGGUUGUGCAGUUUCCGAAGUAACGCCAUAAGGAUCAUGAAAUGUGUCAUGUGAGUCGGUUUUUGAUGACUUGUGAAUGGAAUGUUUCUGGGUAGAGAAGGAUUCGAUCAAGAAAGAGUUUUAGUAGACCUUGAGACUAUGGAUGAGUUUCCUCAAAGUAUUCAGGUGAUUAAGUUAACCUGAAGUAACCAGGAAUGGCAAAAGAGAUCAACAGAUGGAUAUGCCACUAAUCGAGUGUGUAAGGUAAAUGGUUUGAUAUUUUUGGAAAAUUCACCGCGAACAGAAAUGACGAGAAUUGGAAAAGAGACAAGAUAAGAUUUAGACACAUCAGACCAUUUUUUUUUUCUCACUAAAGGAAUCAAUAAAGUUGCAUACAAGUUUGUGAUGCCUUCAGAAUUGGCUAAGGCACAUAAUGUAUUUUGUGUUCGAUGCGUUGUCACUAAGUGGCAGGGUCGUUACAUGGGACUUUGGUGCAACUAUUGAGAAUUAAGCCGGAUAUGAUUGGUGAGGAACUAAUGUCGACUUUGGAUUGGAAAAAGAAGGUCCUAAGAAUUAAGACAGAGUAAGUAGUAAAAGCUUUGUGAAGGAAAUCAUUCAGUAGAAAAUUGUGUGGGAGAAAGAGAAUCGGAUGAGAGAGAUUUAUCCGAGGCUAUUGUAUGAGUAUAGAUGAUUUGGUUGGUUGCUGGAAUUUCGGGGACGAAAUUCUAUAAGGAGGGGAGAUUGUCACAGCCCGCGCCGGAAUUUUUAAUUCCGAGGACAUGAAAUUACGGAAAUGUCCCUAAUACGUGACUAAGGUAUAAUUUUCACGUUCGUUAUAUCUAAGCUCCAAAAAAAUUUGGUAAUUGGAGUGGAGACUUAGACUUAAAUUUUAUGAUGGAAUUUUAUGAAAUUGGGAUUGGUUUGGACAUGUGGGAUCCCCACACCUCAAAACCCUCCCCAUUUCCCGUAUACUGUCCUUCAUACUCUCUCUCUUCCUCAGCUCUUCCUCAGAAACUCUCAUUCUCUCUCUUCUUCUCGAACGCACGGGCAACCACCAAAACCACCUAAAACCUAUACCAACGUUCCAUUUAAGACCACCAUCGUGAUCCUGGGGACUUCACGAGCACGGGGAUACCAAUUUCAGGUGAGUUUCACUUCGAAAACCCUAGUUCUAAAGUUGCCGUGAGAUGACACUGUUCAUGAGCUUUGAAUUGGUUACGUUUUAGGCUAAAACAAGAUCACAGCGAGUUUAGUAAGGUCCCAAGGAAGCUCGGAGUGCUUCGUUGGAAGUUUUUGGACGUAAGAACACGGAGAUCGACAAGUUCAAAGUUUGGCCGGAGCUUUCGAGGCGUUUUCCGGCGAAUCCCCGGAGAGUUAGGAGUCGAGGUAGGUGUCAAUCUCUUCGUCUCGUCAAGUACUACAACUUUCCUUUUUGUUUCACUCAAUUUCGUUGAGUAUUGAAGAAGUUAUACUCAUUUGAAAAAUACCCAGUUUCCGGCGACCUCCGAGGCUUUCGAGGCCGUUUCCGGCCAAACCACGGCGAACUAGGUGUUGUGCAAGGUACCAUUCUCUUUGUCUCUUCAAGGGCUACAACUUUCGUUUUUGAAUCACUUGAUUUCGUUGAGAAAUGACAAAGUUAUGGCAAUUUGAAAAACUGCCCGGAAAACGGCCGCCGGAAAAACCAGUCCGGCGACCCAAGGAAGAAGAAGGUGCUACAGUAAAAAUAAAAAAAUAAAAAUAAAAUUAUUUUAAAAAUAUGUCGACGUCCGUGACGUCGAGUAGAUCACUGUGGUAUAUUCAUAUACCUAAAUUGAACACCGUAUGAGAAAGUUAUUAAGGAUUGUUGGUUAGGUGUUCAAAUAACGUUUUAUAGUUUUCACAUUAGGUGAAAAUGUGAAUUGAUGAUCCGACCGUUGGAUCAUCACCAAACUUUGAUACGUUGUAAUACGUAAUAUUUGAGGAUUAUAGGAACUUACAGAUUGGGAAUCCGAUUUGCGGAUCUUCCGAAAUUGGAGUUGUAAGUCCAUAAUAUAGAAUGUUAACCGUCACUUAGUUUUGGAAAUUGACGGAAAUCCAACCGUUUGAUAGUAAUGAAAUUUUAGGAUGUUAUCCUAGAGAUAUACUGUGGACCUCUGGAAGUUAUGGAUUUAAAAUCUGAGUGGCAGAUCUUCCGGAUCGAACUACGUAGUGACGUAUUUUAUAUAAGUUAAAUAUUAUAUCGAUAUGAAUUCUGAGGUUGGAUUUGAUUUCUAUUCUAGGCGGCGAUCGUCGUGACGCCUUGAUGUGUGGUGCUAGGGAGUUGUUGGAUGAACUCCAGGUGAGUGGGCAGUUUUGUUUUCCGUAUAUAUAUAUAUACUUAACGUUUUCCCAGAAAUUGAAAAUGCAUGAAAUUAUGUUUAAAAUGAAAUGCAUAUGAGUUAUGUGGAAAAACGGGAAGUGAAAUACCAUGCAUAGAAUUGAUAUGAAAAGUAUAUAGAAAUGUGAGUUGAAAUGCCAUGCAUGAAUUAAUAUAUGAUGCAUAUGUAUGAAUUGGUGCGGUGGACGCACAGGUAAGAAUUGAUUUAUGAUGCAUAUGUAUGAAUUGGUGCGGUGGACGCACAGGUAAGAAUUGAUUUAUGAUGCAUAUGUAUGAAAUGGUGCGGUGGACGCACAGAUGAGUAUUUAAUUACUGUUAUGAUGAUGAUGAUAUAUAUUGAGCUCAAAUCCUGCACCAUGGUUUAGUGCUUAUAGUAUUCACCGCAUCGCACGCUCGCCUUGGAUCCAAGUAGAUGCUAGUCGUACAGUCCACGCGGAGUGGGUACGACAGGCCAGUCGCGAGAGUGUUAGUGAGAUUCCGACUGGUGGGUGACCUUAGAUUAUGUGCACAGAUGAUUUAUGAGAAGCACUAGAGCGUAACUUGUGUGCAGAAGGCCGGACGGGUCACAGAGGGUGACUCCGGUAGAGUGAUAAUGAUAGAUUUUGAGCUCUAGGUUCAACCGUAUAGGGCUAUUAGAGGGCCUACGGUUGAUUACUUUCUUGCACCUGAUAUGAUUAUGUUGAUGCAUUCAUACCUUAUUACUGUUGAGAUAAUGUGGCAUGGCAUAAUUAAUAUGAGAAAUGUUGAGAUGACAUGGCAUGGCAUGAUUGAUAAAGAGAUAAUGUUGAGAUAGUAAAAAUGAAGUUUUGAGAAUAUAUAUGUAUAUUUAUAUUUUACAUUUCUGGGAAAGUAUACAGGUUUUACGGAGAGGGGUUACAACGUUUUGAGAAAUGUUUGGAUUUGGAAA